rnacentral:tRNA from 1 species
GCGGGCAUGGCGGAAUUGGCAGACGCGCCAGAUUUAGGUUCUGGUGGGAGACCGUGCAGGUUCGAGUCCUGUUGCCCGCA